GUCUAUGGCCAUACCACCCUGAACACGCCCGAUCUCAUCUGAUCUCGGAAGCUAAGCAGGGUCGGGCCUGGUUAGUACUUGGAUGAGAGAAGAGUUUAGUGCCCCCAGUUCCUAUAGAGC
ensembl:rRNA 5S_rRNA 5S ribosomal RNA